GCUCAAAUUCCCGAGUAAUUUUAUACUCUCGUUAAAUGGGAAUUGAGCGUAGACAUCAAUUUGUUUUCAGUGAUUUUGAAAAGUAAGCUAUUAUUGCAUGGUUGCAACAAAGUUACUAUUUAGCAAGUUGCUAAUCGAAAAGAAGCAUGAUUCACGGAAUAAAGUGUAUCCUAUGGAACGUAUGAUAGGAACACUUACUGAAUUGAUAAAGAUAGCUCCGGAAUGGGGAUAUGAAAUUAAUGGAAGCACGAAUUGUGAAAGUUUUACGAAUGUCAUUGUGUUGUGUAAGAUAAUGUGUGACGGGGCAUUCCACGCGAAUUGUUUACAAGUAAUGCUUGAGGAUUCUUACACUAAAAUGUUGGUCAUUUAGUUGUGGAAAUGAGGUCGACGAGUGGAUUUGCCACUGCUUUGCAGUAUGUGGUUAUUGAGAUUAGUGGGUGACUAAGUGUUAGUCCCCGAUUUGUUAUAAGACUCUUUGAAUUAUUCGGAAAGGCUAAAAUUAUAAUGUCUUUGUAUAUGGCAUUGAGCUCAGAGGAGUUGGAUGAGACAAUGAAAUCAAAUGUUUGCACAUACACACACAAUGUGAUAGAGGAAAAGUGCAAUUUGCGAAAAACAAAUGGUUAUAGAGUUUGAUGAGGUCGUCCCCAUAAGUGGAAUAAGAUGUACCAUGUGAAUGGUAAAGGUUCAAAAAGUAUCAGAGGAAGGUAAAACAAUGUCUUGUGCAAACUCGAGCCCGAGGUGAAAAGAAGUAACCUCUCUCAUUCAUACAUUGGGUAAAUUUCGAGGACGAAAUUUAUUUUAAGGGGGGUAGAGUGUGAGCCCCCGAAAAUUUUGUUUAAUUUUUAGAAUGUAAUUUUUCGCCAAUAAGAUUUUCGCAAGGUGAUUUAAGUGAAGAAAUCGAUUUUGGAAAUUGUUUUGGUGUCGAGACCACCUACUGGGCCGACAAUUUAAGUUUGGGCCAAAGUCCUUUCAUUUGGGCCUGGAAGGUACUAAAGUUCAUUGCAGCAAAAAGAUCGCCGAAGCAAAUUUGAAAGGAGAACAUUUUAACUUCGUAUUUUUUUCUUGUUAUUUUAAUUUGUCGCAUAACGUAUGAAAUUACGUAUUCGUAAUGUACGAAUGUAUUCGAGAUUAGAUUAAAAUUAUGAGGCCAUUAAAAGGAUUAAGAAAUUAGAAAAAAAAUCCAAUUUGGGUCUAGAAAAGUAUUUUUAAAGUAUUGAGGCUUAGGACAAGCCCGGAAAAUUUUCCCGAAAGGAUUCGGUGAAGUGUCGGAGAAAUAAGGAUGUUUGGAGAUGUAAUUUUCGGAUUGGGCUUGAGGAAAUUAAGAGAAAAAGAAAGUUGGAGCAGCCCAAGCCCACUUGGCCCAAAAGGAGGGGCAGAUUCGACUUUUCACAAUUAAAUUUGGGAGAGGUAUUUAAGGAACACAUCCCUCACAAACCCUAGCCACUUCCCUCAUUUUCUCCAUCAGCUUUCUCUCUCUACCGAGAGCCUCUCUCUCUACCCGGUUGCCGGAAAUCGCCGCCGCCGCCGUCGCUGCCGCACCGCCGCCGGCCGCCGCCGUCGCCGGAAUACGGAUUUCAACCAAAAUUUCCAGAUUUUCUCCUCUUCCUUCCCUCUUUCCAUUUCUCCAACCAAAAUCAUGAAAUUUAGCCAUUUAAUCCCCCAAAAACCCUAGAACCCGAAGCUAAAAUUGGGGCUUUUGUGAUUUCUUCUUUCCAAGCUCAAAUCAAGGCUACGGGUUUGGCAAGGAUUUUUGGUGAAGAAGGCCAAGGAGAAGGUAUAUGACGUGAUUUUUGAAGGAGAAAGGGACCCGAGCGGGUGCACUUGGAUUUGGAUAAAGGAUCGAAAGUCGGGAACGAACCCGAAUGUGGGCAAGCACUCCAUUUCCAGUGUGCAGGUUUCGAGCAUGUGGUCGGGAAGCGUACAGGGGAGGCACAUGGCACGGCUUGGCGCAUUUCUCUUUAGUUUUAUCAAAAGAAGGUUUUGGUCCUUAAUCGGAUUUUGUAGUAGCUUGUUUAUUUACUUUUUAUUUAUUU